CGGAUACCUGCUGGAGUCAAAGAAAGGCAUGUGAACCUUGAAGGGAAACAUUUGUUAGAUUUAUAUCGUUCAGUUGUUAUCCCUUCGUCCCAAGAAAAGGCUACAAAUCGUUAAGAUUUCCUUCACUUGAUUCAGCCUGUACAGAAUCUCUAUGUUGCUGGAGUCGAGUUCAGGAAAAGAGAGGAUGCAGAGAGCUUCUUGGACAUUAAAUUUGGUCCCCAUGGAGUCCUUGAAAUCCCUUUUUUAUCCAUAGGUGAUACUGUUAGCCCUUUCUCACUGAAUUGUGUUGCGUUUGAACAGGGCUAUAAUCGUGAACAGUGCUCCAGCAACUUCAAGUCAUAUGUUACUUUCAUAGGCUGCCUCAUCAACACCCCUGCCGAUGCAGGAUACUUGCGGGAUCGCCAAAUUAUUGAGAAUUACUUCGGAACAGAUGAAGAGAGAAGAGAAAAACGGAAAAAACUACCAAUAAUACUCCUGUCGAUAGCAAAAAAAAGAGGUUAUGAGAGUAUUCAAAGAUCUGUUCGUUGAUCAACAAAGGCAUGAGAUUAAAGUACUCAAAACUCCCAGUUGUUGCAUAUGGAGAAAACCAGGGAAAAGUGGCAAAGAUUUCAGAAUCAGAAGCUUUUCUGAGCUAUUCGACAGAGGUUCUCCGGAUUGGGAUUACCCAGAAGCAAUUCUUAACACACAUAACAAGUGUGCUUAUGACCCAGAUGUUGCGACCGACACAAAUUCAGAAGUGACAACUCCUUAAUUGCUUACAAUAGUAGGAACUGAAGACCCAGACUCAGACAACGAGACAAGGACUAAUUAAGUAGGGUCGCGUAUGGCGG
rnacentral:misc_RNA from 1 species